rnacentral:lncRNA from 1 species
GUUUCUGGCUCUGAAGAGUCCUCACAGAGAAGAGCAGAUUUCUAAUGUUUAGUUUCUGUGUUGGGUAGCCCCAUGUCCAGAUGACAUAGAGAUGCAUUUAAAGCCUUCAGCUGUUGGGCUGAGGGCAGAACCCAGAAGCAGAGCAACUUGCCUACCUGGUAGGAUUUCCAGUACUGCAAAACGAAAACUCUUAAGCUUCUCUGAGUAAAUGAGAGGAGAAGACUAAGACCACCUCUACAAAUCCGACCUCUAAGCGGGGAGCAGUCGGGAAGCCGGUCACAGCCGCUUCUGGAGGUGCAGGAGGUCUCUCUGCCUUCACUGCAGGGAAAUAGAAGGUCUGAGAGUUGGUUCCUCAUGAACAGUAUUUGCAGGGAUUUUUCACGACUGGGGAUCAAAACUAGGGCCUGUAUAUACUUGGAGGGGUGGAAUUUCUGGCAUGGAAAAUGUGUG